rnacentral:rRNA from 1 species
GUGGGGAAUUUUGGACAAUGGGCGCAAGCCUGAUCCAGCAAUGCCGCGUGCAGGAAGAAGGCCUUCGGGUUGUAAACUGCUUUUGUACGGAACGAAAAGGCUCUGGUUAAUACCUGGGGCUCAUGACGGUACCGUAAGAAUAAGCACCGGCUAAAUACGUGCCAGCAGCCGCGGUAAUACGUAGGGUGCAAGCGUUAAUCGGAAUUACUGGGCGUAAAGCGUGCGCAGGCGGUUUUGUAAGACAGACGUGAAACACCCGGGCUCAACCUGGGAAUGGCGUUUGUGACUGGAAAGCUGGAGUGCGGCAGAGGGGGAUGGAAGUCCGAGUGUAGCAGUGAAAUGCGUAGAUAUGCGGAGGAACACCGAUGGCGAAGGCAAUCCCCUGGGCCUGAACUGACGCUCAUGCACGAAAGCGUGGGGAGCAAACAGGAUUAGAUACCCCAGUAGUCC